CGCCUCCUCUGCCGGCGAGCGAGUGGAGGCUGCAUCCCUGUGCGGCUGGUUGUCGCGUCGCCGCAGCCUCCGCCGCGGAGCCCCCCGCCUCCGCCCGGCCGCCCGGAGUCGGAAUGAGCUCCAGGAAAGUGCUGGCCAUUCAGGCCCGAAAGCGGAGGCCGAAAAGAGAGAAACAU